AGGAGACAAGCAUCCCGUGUAUUAGUGGUGAAAUCUUUGUAAAUAAACCACCUGGCUCUGUUUGCUUACAGAGGAGCUAAAAAAGGAGCAAGGACACUGGGAGGAUAGGCAUCCUAUCUGACAGCUGGUGAGAGAUAGAUUGCUUUGGUGACAGAUGGAGGUGGUGACAUCUUCCUCCCCUCUUUCCUCUCCCAGCUUCACCCAUGGCAGGAAGUAUGUAGGAAUUAUGUUAUUCCAUGUUAGCAUUGUGCUAUUGAAUAUUCCUGCUUGGUGUUCAGUAACCCAGUCUAGGGCAGGUUUUGCAGAUAAGAAGAGGCCUGCAGCAUGGCUUGGGGAGCAGGCACAGCCGAUAGCCAUCUAUGUCCUUGGCCCUGGAGCAAUGGAUCUGGGAUCUUCUGGCAGCUCCCCUGUGGGCUGAACAGGUAGGGCACUUCUGGGGACAUUGCAGGAGGCAUAAAAAGGGACCAAUUCUUUUGAAAGCACAACAGAGAGAAGGAAAUGAGAGCCUUGAGGGCACCUCCUGCCUUCUGUCUGCCCCUUUAUGCCACUGUGCACCUCCUGUGCCUACAAAAGCCACAACAUAAGGCAGUCCUGCAAGGAGAUUUGUUUGCUGAGUGAGUGACUCUGAGCUUCAGGCUGAAAUUACACAAUCCUUGUUUAAGUGGCUGUCCCGCAGCUCUGCAAAGGUGUGACAAAGCAGGUAGGGUAGAGGUGUGCAGGUGUCUGUGCUGCAGGUAAUUGCAAGGGGGGGGGGGGGGGGCAGCAUGGCAGUGCCAUGACAUGGGGUGCUCGUUUCUCACUGAUUUGACUGGAGGUGUGGCAGUACCCCCUCAGUGUCAGCAGUCUCUAGCAGCAUAGUACUGUGACUUUUCAAUGGUGAUAGGUGGUGUCCCUUGCUGUCCCAAGGAGGUGAGGAACAUCCUGUAUUGGACAUGUGUUUGAGCUACUUUGCCUAGGGCAUGCCAUGGGGAGUUGGUCAACAAGUCAGUCAAUGCCCCGGGCUGCACUGUGGGUUUGGGAGCAGGUUGAAUCCUGCUGAGCUCUAUGGAAGAGACAUUUUCUGUCCCUGUAAUGUCAGCUGGAUGCACUACAUAACAUGGAUACAUCAUGGGUACUCUGGCUUUACAAAAAGCUCUGUUUCUCACUCAACAUUGUCAGCUCUCCAUAACUGUGACUGUUGUGUUUGCCGAUGAGGAGUGCACACAUGCCAGCCACUUGGUUCCCAUGUGGAGGACAAGCUUGUGUUGCUUGGUGGGAGGAGAGAGUAAAGAAAACCUUUACUCUGCCCUGAACUUCCUCAUGGGUUCCAUCAUGGCCUGUAUCCCUGCCUGGCCGCUUGAUUAGGCCUCCUGUGCCUCCUGGUUGGGCUGUGCAAGAUGUGUUCUUGCCAUAUGGUUUUUGUUGCCAUGAGUGAGUGAGUCCAGAAAUCUGAUACAUGAAAGCAAUAUCACAGCUGAUUUCCUGGAACCAGUAAGGACAGGAAUUGGGAAAAUAACUUGGCAUGUUUCAGCGAGGUGCUUCUUGUAGCAUAGCUUUAGGCUGGGAAAUGAAGAGCAGAAAGUAGAGGGUGAUGAGCUGUGACAAGGACACUGCAGCAGGUAGGAGGGGUUUUUUAUAAUGUGCAUGUUUUUAAUGUGAGGGGCCCUGCUAUAAAUUUGAGAGGAAUAUGCUCCUUUACUGAGGCAAGUCUAAGUGAAAUUUUCCCUGUUAAGCAUCAAAGUCAGGCUCUGAUUCUGUGGCCAGCAUUGCCCUGAUAAGCGUAACUUGCUUUCCAGCCAAGUAAAAAGGAGAAACCCCAGGAAACUGGCCUCAUGCUUUGGAUGGCUGUGAAGGUCAGAUCAAAGAGGAAUUCAUAAAUGAGCAUGCAAAAACUGGAAUGAAAAAGAGUCCACCCACCCUAGCUUGUCCUUAGGUUUCCAAAUGGGGAAAUGAGCAUCCACGGGGCUAUGUUGUUAUAAAGAAGUUAAAGAUAUGCAGGGUUUUUUGUGGCCAGGUUUGGCCAAAUCUGUAUGUUAUUACGUUACCUCCAGAACAGGGUAGCCAUGUCCAUGCUGCUGCUGGAAGUGCUGUCUGGCCUAUGCUGAAUCUUGGAUACAUGCAAAAUGAAGCUACUUGGCAUGGACUGAAGCCAUACCAAGGACCAUCCUAAUAGUGAUGGUUCCAAUUCUCAGUCAACCCAGAAACUGCCUCCUCCUUACUUUAAUCCAUUUGAUCUAUAUGAGGACAGGAGGAAUGUUCAAGCUCCGUGGCCACCUGGACAGGAAAAGACUGAAUUUACCUAAUGGAGUGUCGUUUGGGCAUUUGGUGGUGUCUGAGAGAUGAUGGUAAGGGGUUCCUCUGGCUGCUCAUCUUUCCUGCAGCAGUGCCAGCCUUUCCUGCUGGGGAGCAGGCUUAUUGUCACACCAAAGCCUGAUGUGGGGUGCUGUGCUGAGGCUGGUGUGCUGGAGAACCUCGUGUGUUGCUAUGGCCUAUGAUUGCUUGGCAGGUUAAUAGGAUCGAUCUCACCCCUACUUCAGCUUUGUUCGGAUCAACAUCUCAGCUUUAAACCAAAUGUUUUGAAAUCAGUCUAAGAAAAAGUUAUUUGCUGCUGAAAUGGGAUUUGCCAGGUCUGUGUCUGCAGCAAGCACAUGCCACAGCUACCCUGUCAGCUUCAUUUGCUGCCCAGCAGCACCCACAAGCACAAUGUCUGGCAAAGCUCCCACCUUCACCUUGUCUGUAAAUAUUUGUAUCCUUUCCUUGUCAAUCAGCAGCCUGGUAUUUGCACAGAGAGAAGAUAACAGAUGUUUGAAGAAUUAAUUUUCUGUGCAGCCCAUUUCCAGGAGCUGUGUAGGAAGGCUUCUGGGUGGGACUAUGGUGUAAUAAAGCAGAGGAAGCAGCAUCGAUUCUUUCUGCUGUGUAAUUCUGCCAAGAGGCACGGUCUCAGCAAUGUUCCUUUGGGGAUUUAUGCACUGAGCCUAUCUAGCACCUGCCUGCAAAACAGGAGGUCCUUUCAGCUUGAAGCACUGGUGUUUGUGGGCAGGUACAAAGAACAGGGCUCUUUGUAUACUAAUGACAUGUCUAAUCUCUCAUCUUUUAGUGCUUUCCUGAGUCAAGCUGGUUACAGGUUUACAGUUUCUUUUUUCUAAGUCUCACCAUGGGUCUGCAGUAGCCCAGUUGCCCAGCAGCAGGACAAGGUGGGCAGGCAUCCCUUGCCAGCACUCCUGCAGAGCCACGGCCCCUCUGGGAUCAGCAACAUUCCACUCCCAGUGCAGGUUUCUGCUGCCAUGUGGAGCAAAGGGACAUGGUGGGGCUCUGAUUUGAGCCUCCUUCUGGGAUCUCAGCAGCCUUAACUUCCUGGGGCCCAGCUUGGCAGUUCCUGCCUGAACACCACAGAUUCAUCAACACUGAAUGCAUGGAUUCAUCUGCAUUGCCUUGAUCCACAGCAUGAGGGUUGUCACCCAUGUGAUUUCUGCCAAGCCUUGUCCCAUCAGUGGCUGUGUGGUGGAUUGGACCAUGUGUCUGCUCCAGCUUAAAACCCUCUUCUCUCCUGAUGGAUUCUUCAUCAUCCUCCCAAAACCCAGACAUACCUUGUUCCAUCAUAUCAAAAAAGUGGCUGAUAGUUUUCAAACUCUCAUGUUGUCUUGAUCCCACUCUUAGGGACAGUAAAAGGAAGAAGGAUGAGGAGACAAGCCAGGCACAGUGAAAGUCAUUAGCUUAAUUUCUUCAUCUCUAAACUGCUGUAAUUGCUGUAGAAGAUGUAACUUGCACCUUUAGGGCACAUCUACAUUACAGUCUUUGGACAAAGCUGGUUUGUGGAUUGGUGUGUGGACUGCUAAUAUCACCCUUGCAGUGGCCUGGAGCAUGUCAAGCAUCCCAAGCAGGAUGGCUGUUCCCAUGCUGAUGCUGGGGAAGGCUCUCUGUUACCGCAUUCUUCUGAAGCAAAAGGAAGCAUCCCUGGGUGUUAAUGUACUGCUAAGUCUGCUACGGUCUGCUUGACAAGAUUUCAUUUCCAUCAAUUUUCUUGAUGCUGUUCAGGAACACCCACCCUCUCCCUGCUCAAACAAAAGAAGCUUUUGGGGAAACAUUUGCCAAAUGUUUCUCUUUGCAGGAACACAGGCUUAACUAACGCUCCCUGUUCUUGCCUCCUCCUUUAUCGAUCCAGGAUAAAAAUAACCUUGUAAAACUGAUGGCUUAAGUGUCACUGCUGACACCACAUGUAGCCAUGGUCAGAGACGUUAGUUAGGUGGACUUCCCAAGAACUGCUCUAGGAUUUUGGGUACAGGCAUGUUUUGUCUGAAUAGCUACAAAGGCUGGUAUCAGAGAAGGGUUUUGAGAAAUGUGCAGCUGCUUCUGCUGGCAUGCAGCUUUUGAAGGUAAUGACAGUGUAUUUCAGGGCAAGGAAGCCCACCAGAAUUGGCCUAAAUGAGUGUGAAUGAUGCACCAGGCAGGUUCUAAUGUUGUUCCAUUUUCUGAUUGUCUUGCUGGGGAGAUGUUUGCCCUUAUUAGAGGGGUAUAACACUGUCCCAGAGUCAGAAACUCUUAUUUUGACCUAGUGAAGGGGAAGACAGGAGCAGAAGGGGUUAGCUGGCAUUAGCCCCUGAGGAGGCAAGAAGGCAGCUGGCAUUUUUACUGGUAAAUCUCUGCCUCCUCCACUUGCACAUUUUCACACUGUAUAUUCCCACUUCCUGAGGAAGUGCUCAUUUCUUUGAGUGUAAUAGCAGUUUCAUUAAUAGCUUUGCUGGGUUGAAUGGAGAGAUACUUGCUUUUUCAGAAAUGGGUUAUUGCUUUUUUUGCUCAGUGCAGAACAGCUCAUGGCCUUGUCUUGGCAAGUCCAGCCAUGGUCUGUCCAUAUUUUUUGCCUUUCUCAAGGCACUGGAAGGAAGAUUUUUUAAAUACUUUCUUUUGUUUUAUUUCUUCUCAUUUCUCACCUUCCUUGUGGGUUCAGCUUGGGGCAACCUGGGUGAGAAACUGGCUCUUCUUGUUUGCCUGAAUGUAAGGACAAACUGGUCUGCGUGAGAAAGGUCCGGUCUGCUUUCCUGCUAAAUGAGACAAGGCCAGUCUGUCUGUAGCCUGGUUGCACGUGUGGUUUGGUUCAUGGCCUAGUGAAACUGAGCAGUGCUCUCCCAGUGACAGCUGGGCCAUGGCUGGAGGUGGUGGCAUGCAGCGGGUUGCUUAGGGGAUGGUACGUGUGUGACUGCCGCAGGGUUGGCUCCUUCAACCACCCCCAUGCCAGGGCAGUAAAAACUGCUUGCAAGAAAGGCUGUAGCCUUCAUAUGAUUUAAGGAAUGGGUAAUUAGGGCCACAACAACAUGGUGUGGGGCUCUGGGGAAUUCCUGCCUGCUGUAACAUGGCGGAGCUAAGCCACAUCUCUGCCUCAGCCAGAGGUUGUCUCCAGCCUCUCUAUUUAGAACCAAAGAAAGUGUGGAAACCCCUGGGAAGAGCUGGAAGUGAUAUUGCUGUUCCCUAGCAGGUUAUCCUCUUCCAGAGUAUGCUGGAGGUAAUCUUUCCUCCUCUUGUUCUCCUUGGUUGCUCUGCACCCAUCCUUGAAAAAUGGUGGGGACUGGGAAGGUACAAGCCUCUAGGCUACUUGCAUCUCACAUCAGCACAUCAGUACUUCAGUGUUUACAGGGACUCCUGAAAAGGAGAGUGCUGGGAAAGCCCCUUCCCUCAGCAUACUACACUUCAGCAUCUCUUCAGAGGAGAGAGCUGGGUUUUUCUGAGGACUAGAGGGGAGUUAGGUGCCUGAGCCUGACCAACAAGGACAUAAUGUCUGCUUCCCUUUGACCUAUUUCUGUAGCUCAUCCAUUUGGUCUGUGAUAUAUUGGGGAAACUAGGCCUGUAGCAUGGGUGGAAAUUCACUUCUGACCUUUGUGGGUUUUGCAUGUAGCCAGUGAUCCACCAGAAAUGUUCCUCAGUUACAGGUCAGGAGUAAAUUGCUGUGUGUUUUCUGCCCUAGUAGGUGUUUGGUGAAUGUGUGAGUGAGUGUUCUUCAACAAAUGACAACACAGUUGACUUCUGGGCUGAAACAUCCUUGGUUUCUUGGGGUGUGGUAGCAUCUUGCUAUAAGCUGCCACCACCUUUCCCAGCUGUGGCUGUGCCUAAGAUCCCUGCAGAAGCAUCUGCCAUGCUCCUCCCUGGAGGCAGAAGUAUUUCAUUGCUGGGCAAAAAACCUGUGUCAACAGCUGCCAUGCUUGAUUCUCCUCCAAAGGCUACCAAUUAAUUCCUUACAACACAAACCAUCUGUUCUCAGUCUCUAAGCUGCUUGAGUUAGGGGCUGUCUUUGCAGUGUGUGCUUGAGCAGUGCUGCAGAAAGGAGUCCUGGCCUUGAGGAUGGUCAUGGUGACAAGAAGAACAUUAAACUUUUGGUGAAGUGGCUGUGAGUCCUGGUGCUACUAUAGGCUGAUGAAGCUGUCACCGGAAAUGGCCUGUUCUUGUCCUUUUGACCACCUGCAGAAACCAUCACAAUUGCAGAAGUAUGUCUGGUCAGUUUAGAAGUGUUUUGCUCUCCCUUGUACAGCUGCUGUCCUACCAUUCUGGGUACUGCUAAACCAUGUAGGUCUUUUUCAUGCUGUUCUUUUACUGUCAUGUUUUAAGUUCUUAGGCUCUUCUGGAAGCAUGUUAGAGUAGCUGAGAUUUGUCUCUUCACAUGUGUGGUCCUCACAUAACUGUAUUUCAAGGCCCUGUUCUCCAGAAUGAAGUGAGGGCAACAGUUCUGCUCGUCACAUGCAGAACUGCUGUCACGUGCUGCUUCCUGUCCUUUGCAAUGUUUGUUCCCUGGGCUGCAGGCUGUGGUUUGAAAGCUCCUGGUAACAACAUCAAAAAAUAUCCCAGCCCCAUGAUGCAAGGCACUAAUGACCCAUGCAAACUUUUCUGAUUCAGAUUCAUUAAAUACUUUUGGCAGGCUGAUGGGAGAGCCUUGUGCCACAUCAGGAGCUGCCUGUCUCUGUGUCCCACUAACUGUGUGUUGGACCACAUACUGCCUGUUUUGCUGCACAGAGACAACAUAAACUCUAUCGACCAUGGCUAAUUGGGUAAGAAUUAGAUGUUCUACUCAUGCAAAACUGAGAUGAAGUGUAUGCUGUUGAGUGGUCUGGGGCACAGAUGCUAUAUUCCUGAUGGUGAACGUUUAGCCCUAGCACUUGGAUGCUCUCCCUGUGUCUUGGCACAGCCUGCUGGGGUAAGAGACCAGUUGUAAUCAUGUCUUGGUAGACAGUUCUGCUUCAUCACUGGGUCUUUUACACUGCUGGGAGUGCAGGUGUGGAUGCUGACGUGGCUGAGCUGAGAUGUGAUAAUUCUUUUAAGUCCCCAUAGGUUUUAGCACUUGAAAUCAAUUGUUUCUUUCACUGUAAAAUUGUUGCUACAUGAUUUCACUUUGCAGCCUUUCAAAUAGGCACAUCUGUCAGACUUUGUUUUCAGUGUUUUAUCAUGUGGUAUUUUCUUUUUAUUAAGAGUGGGGCUUUUACCCAAAAAAACCAUCUUAAUCACCAUCUCAGUUAAAACAGUACAUCUGAAGGUCAGCUUACCUGAAGUCAUCUUGGGGACUGUUUUAUCUUAAGGACAGCAUAUAAAAAACCCAGCGUCCGUGAUUGUAAAAUCUGAACAGCUUUUGUCAUUCUCCAGGCACUGGCAGAGAGAAGAUGUGAUCUGCUUCGUUUUCAUCCUUGACUUUGCCUAUAUGGGUAACAUAAUGUCUAUUCGAACACUAGGAAAAAAAUUAUAUAGGACACCUUCUGUGUAUACAUGGAAUUGGAGUCCCACAACUGAUGCUCUGACCUUCCCUGUGCUUUCCAAGCCAGAGUGUGACAUACCACAUCAUCCCAUGGGAGUGUGAGGAGAAGAGGGCAAGGGAAUCUUUUCGUAAUUGUUAUGGUCAUCAAAAAGUCAGUCCCUACAGCAACACUUAUCCUAGGGAGCUCGUUGCCAGCUUAAAGGCUGAGUCAUGUGAUGUGGAUGCAAAUUCAGUGCAAUUGAAAACUGAGUUAAGCCAGAGGGCUGUUCAGUAAGCCUGUGGAGAACAGCUGUUGUGGCAGCAAGUAAAUGAGUGGGAAGGGAAAAACACUCUUUUCUUGUUUCAGAGAGAGAAGAAUCUCUGCCUGGGGCCUUGCUAUGUAAGGAGCCGUGGGGCUGCAUGUCAGGCUGGGGUUUGUAUUGCAGGAUCAAGAUGGGAACAACUAUCUUGGCUAUAGACCUGAAAGGAUGGAAAACCCCACACUUUUGUUUCCCAGAGUACCUAAUAUGUGUCCAAGGGAGUAGGCAAAGUGAUAGUGAGAGGCUCCAAUGCCACCAGAGGAGCAGCUGAGGACCGCUUGGAUAUCGGAAGGGUUAAGCAGUCUGGACUUGAGGAAUGAGCUGUGGUGUUCCUUCUGUGAUUCAAAGAGGGGAAAAAUGUGCUCUCCCUCUCAGAUGCUUCCUUCUGUCCAAAAAAGGCUAAAUAGGCUCAGUGAAAAACCAGCAGAGGCAUUCCUCAUAUUCUCUGGAGUAACUGUAUGUAAAAGCCCAGAUUUAAAGGGCUAGCUUGCAGCAAAUUAAAUGCAACUCUGAAAGGAAUUCACCUUCUGUAGGAAAGCUGACUGCGAUUUCGUUAAGGAAGGACAAGCUGGGGGCUAACUAGAGAAAGAUGAGAUGGAUAUUAACAAACACAGAUGAUUCAUAAGUCAUCACAGAUUAUUAAACACAGGAGGCCUGUUCAUCUUCUUUACUUUAUUAAGGACAGCUUACAUGCACAGUCAUAACCCCAGGACUCAACUGGGCUCAGCAGGUUAACAGGCUCAGCACCCAGGUUAACAGCACCCUGAUGCAAAACCUGCUCAUGUCAAUGGGGGACUCUCUCCUGACUUUCAACAUGCUUUGGAGCACAACCAAAGUGAGUUUAAUGAGCUCUUAAUAUAUUCUGUGAUCCUUCUGCAGCCAAACAGACUGUAUUUUGUUCUCUGGGCUAGGAUUGCAGGCACUUACUACACCAUUUGCUGGUGGCUGUCUGCCUGUUGCGAAACACGUGAGGGCUGGUUUGCAAAAUCACUUUCACGAAGAGAAAAGCCACCUUUGCCAGCCAGCAAUGAGUCACAGAGACAACCUGGGGCCUGAAGGAGAGGUGAGGGGCAGACAAAUCUUUAAAAGUGAAAGGAAAACUAAGUAAGUAGGAGAAAGGGAGGGUGAGGAUGAUUGUCAGUGUGAUGGAGAAGGGAAGAAUCUCUGGCAGACAGGUACUGUGUUGUGGUCCUUCCUUCUCAUCUCCAGCCAGCAAGAGAUGAGAGGACAUUUUCACGGUGGGUAAAUAGCUGCCUUGCCCUCCCAUGUGGACCAGAGCUGGAGAGAAGUCCGCUGCACUCUGCUUGUUGCCCAAAAGCAGAAUUUCAAGGAGGCUGGGCUAUGAACCAUCCUUGUCCUAGGGGAUGAGCAGGAAGGUCUCUGUAGGCCGAGGAACCUUGUCAGGUGGCACAUACCACCUACUCUGGAAAAGAGUAGGGUGAGGUCUACUACACAACAGGCUUUGCUACUGGAGAGACAUUGGAUGCUUGUUCCAUCAGCCUCCACACCUCUGGAGGAGGGGUUGGUGGCUUCUUUUUAGGUCCCAGUUCUGUUUGAGGUGGAGUUUCCCACUCCUAUGAGAGUUCCUAGUGAGCAUGGUUAAAACUAUGUGAAAAGUGAAGGUUAGAGGAUAAAGUGUGGGAAGAAGGAAAACACUUGGUAUGGGUGUUGGAGGAGGUGAUCUGGAAAAAUGUUUCAGUCACUUUGGGUGGCAGUUUCUUAUUUCCCUUGGGCAGAAUGACUUUCUGGAUGAGUGGGAUGCAGAAGACCAGAUUUCUUCAUCCCUGAAGUCGGGGCUGCCUUUGCUUGGGCCUUUAUAUAUAUGAAAGAGCCUCAGGAAAGCAUCCAGAAGAGAGACCGGAGAUGCAGGGAGUGGAAUAGUGUGUCACUCCUUAGCUGAUAGCUGCCUUUGUAGGGUAAGGAUUAAGCUCUUCACCCUAGUGGCUUCUGCAAAUGCCAAGCCUGGGCAGCAUAUUCUCCCUUGCAGUGCCUGGACAGAAAUGUUGCAGUUUCUCAAAAUCUAACCUAUAUCUGUUGGUGAGUUUUAUCCUGGAAAAUUUGCUUGCAGGAAGCCAACCAUGGGGCUGCCAAGCUGCAGGUCCUUCCCCACUGCCUGCUGGCAAAGUAUAGGUUUUUGGGGUGUUUGACAGAGCAGGGUCUUCUUGCUGAAGGGCCUACUGGAGCAUCUCACAAGGGUCACAGUCCCUUGGUCACUUUGCAUAUGACUUGGAGUCACCUUAGGAGCAGACUGCAUCCAUCCAAUGUGGGGAGUGCACUCUGUCCUGGCUCCUGCACACUCCCUGAAUGGUCCUGACAUCUUGAUGACAACUUUGUGCAAGGCCUUCAGGAGCAGUUACUGACGCUUGGCAGCACUUCCAUACCAGUGCUGUGCGAAGGCUGCUCCCUCUCAGGGAGCUCAGCUGGGUGAGAACUUUCUGCGCAUCAGUGUCUGGUGGUUCUCUGAGCAGUUUCCCAUCUGAUUUCUGUGUUUAUUGUGUGCCUAGAAUGUAAUGUAUAUGCAAGCUUUUUUCUAAGGAAAGGUGUUAAAAGUUACUACCAUGAGCAGCAGGGUUGGCUUCACUUUUUAUUACUGGGGAAAGGAAAGAAUUGUCACCAAAUUUAAGUAGUUUUUUAUGUAAACUAGAUUGCUAAGUGCCCACCUGCAGCAAGCUUAAACCGAGAAACUACCCUCUCCUUUUCCCUCUCCCCUGCCAAGUGCCUGACUCUAGGCAGAUCUAUGCUACUAGAGUAGCACCCCACAAAAUCUCAUAGAUCUCCUAUUAGGUAAAGCGUUGUCCAGAGGUGGGAAUACCCCCAUAGGUUUUCUGUCAGAGCACAACCAGCCUUGACAAGGUUAUGAAGUUAAACAUGAGUGUGUUUAAAGGGACGGAGAGGAGAUGGUUUGCCUGGGCUUUUACUUGCAAGGAAAUGCCAUUUCAGAGGAGCCUUGGGAGAGGGAUGCCAGAACUCAGGGAGCAGGACACAGUAACUUCCAGAAGCUGCAGAGGGGGAAGAACUGCAGUGAGGUUAAUUUGGACCUCUGCAAACUGAGGGUGUCAGGGGGUGAUUGAGCUGGCUGUUCUGCUCGUGACUGCCUGCAACACUUUGCAGUGCUGUUGAAGGAGCUUAUUAAAUGGCAGAUCCUGGUUGCCCCGCCUGAAAUUAUCCAGCUUGGAUUUGCCAGAUGUUUUCCAGAGGAGACCAUUCCUGGCUGGCUGAGAUGGAGUGGCUAAGGGGUCUUCAGGCAGACAGUUGGCUUGCCUGCAGCUGGAGAUUGCCAGCCAGGGCCAGCAUCCCCAGGGCUCUGAGCAAAGAGUUGAGCUGGUGGCUGAGCCAAGAGCCGUGGUGGGAGUCCCAGACGGCCCAGCAGCUUUGCAGCACUUCCUUCCCAUUGUGCCUCCGUGCUCAAGCACAUGUGGAGUGCAUGGGCAGAGCGUCCUAUUGGGAGGAGGGAAUUGCUGACCCUUGGAAAGUAAAGGGCAAAGAGAAGCCUGGUUUAAAAUAGCUUUGUUGGUGAGACCUAUUCCAGCCCACAUGCCUGCAAAAUCAGUUAAUUCAGUUAAGAAUACAAGAAGGGGUGUAUUUGUGUGUGUGUGUGUGUGUGUGUGUGUGUGUGAAGGGCUGGUUCCCCAGAUCUGAGGGUGGGUAGAGGCACAGGGCUUCCACAUGGUUGCUGGCUGGGCAGUGGAGAGGCAGUACCUGGUGCUGCUCCAUGUGAGGCUGGCUGGGAGCUGACUCAGACCAGCGAGCAUCUCUGGGAUGUCCUUGAUGUGCCCAAGACACCCACCACCUUCGCAGAGGGAGCCAGACAGUCCCACCAGGGGAAGGGAAGCCUGUUCUCUCUGCUUGACAGCAGUAGUAUCAGAGUCAGCAUAGCUGAAAUAUGCUCACUGGCCUACCCUGGCCUUGAGAGACUGAGCCAUUCCAAGCACUGAAUAAGUCUGCUCAUCCCUUCAAAGCCUUUUGCUUGCUUGUCAAGACCACAGGCUUUUCUUGGAGAGCAAAUACACAUUGUUUAGCAUGGCAUCGAUGUAAAAGCUGGAGCUGAUCCACCUCUUGUGAUGACGGAGGUCAAUACUAAAAUCUCAGAUACCUGUAAGAAGAACAGGUCCCGUGUCUGAGUCCAGAUGGGAUCACAGCAUGAUUAGCCAGUGUGUCAGCCAAAACCCCAUUUCUUUGUUAGAGAACACCCAUGAUAUCUGUGAAGACAGAAAUGGUGUGGAUUUGGACGGAGCACAGGGCAGAGUGUGGGAAGCCUUCAUCAGUUUGUGCAACACUGAUGCCAAUUUGUAAAUUGGUUCUUGGUGUUUGCCUUGGUUUAGACUCUCAGAAGGACAUCAGGGUGACACUGGCAGAGUCUGCUGUCUUGAAUAACCUGGAAGAGGAAGGGAGAGGAAAGACAGAGUCUUUCCACAAAUGGAGAGGAUGAAUCUCCUGCCUGCACUGAAUCUCUUUCUGGCUGUGCUGAAGUUAUUUUCUCUCAACUUGCAGACUUCUAAGCUGCUUGGAUCGUCUUUCCCCUCACCACUUGUUUUUAAUUUUUCAAUCUGAAAAGGCAAUUACUAAGUGAAACCAUGCGUCUGGGACUUAGUUAGGAGUGUGAAGCAGUCUUUGCAACAGCAAGUGCGCAAGGCUCCCAGCUGUUGAACUUGCACACCUGGGCACAGGUGAAGUGCUCAAGGGGUUUAUUUUUUCGUCUACAAGUCUCUUAUUUUGCUCAAUUUAAAUUGGCUGCUGCUCUUUCCUGCUGGUUCUAACUGGCCUUUAGGGGAGUGUGUAUCUGGAUUGCAGGCAUGGUCAGGGUACAGGAGCCAGGAGUAUAUCUCUCCAACCCACCUCAUAUUCCUGGCUCUGAGCAAGGACCCUUUUCCCAACUUUAUCACACCCUUUAUUUAAUUUUUAUAUUUCUAUGACUUAAUAGUCAGUAGACUGAAAUCACAGUGCAUCUAUCGCUCUCCUUUGCUCAUGAUGUGCAUCAAAUCUCUGCAGGAGGCUUGUGUCUCCAUUUACCCUUAAGGAACCAGACUGUACUUUUCUAGCAAAAGAACCAACACCUUGAUUCCUUGGGCACCAGUAAAAUCCCUGACAUGUGAGCAUCGCUUUCCUGCUGCAUGAGUGUGUCAUAAAAAUCAUAGAAUCAUGAACAUGCUUUAAAAACUUGAGAGUGCUGAAACCUACCUUCUAACAAUUUUUUUCUCUAUGGGCAGAAGACAGUGUGUCUCUUCUAUUUGUGCUGCUUUAGACAACAGUGGAGAUUUCUUUGCAGUCACAACUCUGGUCUUUGAGGAAGAAGCUCCCGUCACAAGAGUCAUGAGUGUUGCAAGCUGGAAAAUAUCUUCCACUUUCCCUCUCCUGUCUUGUAAAAGGAAACAGGUAUGCCACUGACUCUGAAGACAAGGCUGUCAGGUGCUAUGACAAUACUUGAGUGAUAAUAGCAACACUUACAGCAGCCAUGCUGAGGUCUGCCAGUGCUGGGCUGGUGCCCAGGUGGACGUGGGAAGCACCAGUGGUCUGCAGGUGAAAUACCUCUGCUUACAAAUCCAGACCUUGAGCCAGGUUUCAUGUCUUCCUUGUGCCCUGCAACUGGGUACAACAGUGAUGACAGCAUGGACUUGGGAAUGGAUCUGCAAGAGUGUUCUGAACCAGUGGAUGUGAGGCAUCCCAGACCCCCAAGUUCAAGCAUGAGUUGCUCUGCCAACCUCACCAGCACUCCUGGAUUGAAGCUCACGGGCAGGCUUGAGUCCUCAUGUCUACAUCUAGUUCCAGCCAUAUAGGUGAUGUCCCAGUUGGUGAAUCCCUUCCUUAGAACCAAGAAUUUUUCUCAGAGGAAGUAUGAAUAAUGAAGAUAAAUCCUGAUAUGACUUAAGGGAAAAAGCUGUAUGCAGGACUCCUGGAGGAAGUAACAAAUUGCUUUGUGAACCGUCACAUCUUCCUAUCCUUGACUUGCCAUUGUAUCCCAGACAAGAGCAAUUUGUGAUGGCAUUAGCAGCAGAGGAGGGUCAGGACAGGCAGACAAUGCCAGCAGAGGUGCCUGCUUGGGUCUUGGUGCAACGUCUUGAUUACCCCAGUGAUAACUCUGUAUGUGUAUUGGCAGUUUCAGGGGCAUUUUCAGGCUCCAAAUCACAAUAUCUGACUCUGAGGGCCAGCACUUGGCCCAGGAGAAGUGGGCACAGAGCUUGUCAUGCUGCUGGACUUGCAACAGCAUGGGAACUGUUACCCAUCCAUCAGGUGAUGUCCAAGUGUGCUUGUGGUCACAUGGCUGGACAUAGCACCCCCUCUUUUCCCAAGCUGCUGCAUUACAAAAUUUACACAUCCUAAGCCUUUUCAGGAGCAAACCUAGAUGGGCAGAGCACUGCUCAGGUGUGCAGGAACAAAAUCAUACAGGGUUCUCCCCUUCUUUAAGGCAUACAUGAGUAACCUUCUCUGGAGCAGCCCCCAAAGGCAUCAAGCUUGUUGAGCUUUGAUUGGACCACACAGUAUGUACUAGGUGUUACAUGUCGGGGGAAUCCCGGGAAUUCCUCCUGUCUCUGAUUAGUUAGUCCUGUCCUCUGAUUAGAUUAGUGAUGUUUUUGGACUGGACAGGAUCCAUAAAUGAAAGGUUUUCCCCAAACUCAGGUGGGAGGUACCAGCCCUAGAGUGCUCGAGGCUGGCAGGAUGGGAUCACACCCUUUUGUAAGCCUGGAAAUACUGGUGCUGGGUUGCCCAUUGGCAUUUUUGAGAAGCUUUUAAGAAGAAUAGCUGUUAUACAUGGGCCUCUGCCCAGAAACCCAUGCAGCUGUAUGGCUGGGAGGAGCUGGAUCACCUGAAACUGCUGCAGAAGAGCAUGAUGCUUUUUUAAAUGGCCCCCUGUCCUACUUAGAGCAGCCGGGACCAGUUCAUCACUGUGUCGGUGUAACCCAAACUGUGUAUUCUAUACCCUCUAUGUCAUUUUCCAGAACCUGUUAACAACAGACCAUUUGCAGCAGCUGCCCAGAGCACACCUGACCCCUCAGGCUAUAAGCUGGGUGUUAAGAAGCCUGUGAGAUAGGGGGAUGUUCCUAUCCUCACAGCAAUGACUCAGGUGUGAUAACUCUCCUCCGGGGAGUCAUUAGCACCUCCACACCCAGCCUGAGGGGUCAUGUUGCUAAUGGGCCAUCAAGGAUUCCAAAAAUAUCUCACGACUCGACUCGCUAUCACCCAUUUGGAACUCCCCGUGCUGUGGGAGGUACUGGGCAUUCCCACUCGAACCUGAGUGUAUAUAAUCUUGGGGUCUUGGGACUUCUGGGCCUGACUCCUUGGAUCCAGAGGAGGACCAGAACCUCGACUGGACUGCAACCACCACUAUCGACCAGACUGCGAUCACCACCCUCGACCAGACUACGACCAGCACUCUCACCAACAGGUUUUCCUUUCCUUUUGCUUUGGACUCAGGGGGACCAUAUCGGGCUCAGCACAGGGGCCAACGAACACCAUUCUGUUCGUGCCCCAGGGUGUUGGGUUAUACAUCUGGGUUUUGUGGGUUAAAACCAAUUGUUUGUCCGUAUAAUUGUAUUUAUUGUAUUAUUGUUAUUAAAUUGUAA